GAUGAACGCUGGCGGCGUGCUUAACACAUGCAAGUCGAACGGUGAAGCAGAGCUUGCUCUGUGGUUCAGUGGCGAACGGGUGAGUAACACGUGAGCAACCUGCCCCUGACUCUGGGAUAAGCGCUGGAAACGGCGUCUAAUACUGGAUAUGGGAUGCGACCGCAUGGUCAGCAGUUGGAAAGAUUUUUCGGUCUGGGAUGGGCUCACGGCCUAUCAGCUUGUUGGUGAGGUAAUGGCUCACCAAGGCGUCGACGGGUAGCCGGCCUGAGAGGGUGACCGGCCACACUGGGACUAAGACACGGCCCAGACUCCUACGGGAGGCAGCAGUGGGGAAUAUUGCACAAUGGGCGAAAGCCUGAUGCAGCAACGCCGCGUGAGGGAUGACGGCCUUCGGGUUGUAAACCUCUUUUAGCAGGGAAGAAGCGAAAGUGACGGUACCUGCAGAAAAAGCGCCGGCUAACUACGUG
rnacentral:rRNA from 1 species